rnacentral:rRNA from 1 species
UACGUAGGUGACAAGCGUUGUCCGGAUUUACUGGGCGUAAAGAGCGCGCAGGCGGUCGAUCAAGUCGAGUGUGAAAGCCCCCGGCUCAACUGGGGAGGGUCAUUCGAUACUGGACUCACUCGAAGGCAGGAGAGGGUAGUGGAAUUCCCGGUGUAGUGGUGAAAUGCGUAGAUAUCGGGAGGAACACCAGUGGCGAAGGCGACUACCUGGCCUGUUCUUGACGCUGAGGCGCGAAAGCUAGGGAGCAAACGGG